UACGUAGGGGGCUAGCGUUAUCCGGAAUUACUGGGUGUAAAGGGCGUGUAGGCGGGUUUGCAAGUCGGGUGUGAAAGAUCCAGGCUUAACUUGGAGAGGUCAUCCGAAACUGCAGAUCUUGAGUGCUGGAGAGGAUAGCGGAAUUCCUGGUGUAGCGGUAAAAUGCGUAGAUAUCAGGAGGAACACCAGUGGCGAAGGCGGCUAUCUGGACAGUAACUGACGCUGAGGCGCGAAAGCGUGGGGAGCAAACAGGAUUAGAUACCCU
rnacentral:rRNA from 1 species